rnacentral:misc_RNA from 1 species
UCCGGAUUAACUCCGGCAGUUUCCUCAGAGUUCUCAGCAUUACCUGUUAGCAACAGAGGAUGAGGGUUGCGCUCGUUGCGGGACUUAACCCAACAUCUCACGACACGAGCUGACGACAGCCAUGCAGCACCUGUGCUCCUCCCACCCGAAGUGAAAAAGUCCAUCUCUGGACCUUAUAGAGGGCAUGUCAAGACCUGGUAAGGUUCUUCGCGUUGCCUCGAAUUAAACCACAUGUUCCACCGCUUGUGCGGGUCCCCGUCAAUUCCUUUGAGUUUUAAUCUUGCGACCGUACUCCCCAGGCGGGGUGCUUAACGCGUUAGCUACGCCACUGUGGCAUGACACCACAACAGCUAGCACCCAUCGUUUACAGCGUGGACUAC